rnacentral:rRNA from 1 species
UACGGGGGGAGCAAGCGUUGUUCGGAUUUACUGGGCGUAAAGGGCGCGUAGGCGGCCACGACAAGUCACUUGUGAAAUCUCUGAGCUUAACUCAGAACGGCCAAGUGAAACUGUUGUGCUAGAGUGCAGAAGGGGCAAUCGGAAUUCUUGGUGUAGCGGUGAAAUGCGUAGAUAUCAAGAGGAACACCUGAGGUGAAGACGGGUUGCUGGGCUGACACUGACGCUGAGGCGCGAAAGCCAGGGGAGCAAACGGG